ACAGAGGCCUCGAGCGUUAAUCGGAAUCACUGGGCUUAAAGCGUACGUAGGCGGGCGCGCAGGCAUCUUGUGAAAUCCCACGGCUCAACCGUGGAAUUGCUUGGUGAACCGCGCGUCUAGAGUCAGGUAGGGGCCGCCGGAACGAUAGGUGGAGCGGUGAAAUGCGUUGAUAUCUAUCGGAACGCCAAAGGUGAAGACAGGCGGCUGGGCCUGCACUGACGCUGAGGUACGAAAGCGUGGGGAGCAAACGGGA
rnacentral:rRNA from 1 species